rnacentral:rRNA from 1 species
UGGGGAAUAUUGCACAAUGGAGGGAACUCUGAUGCAGCGACGCCGCGUGAACGAAGAAGGCUUUCGAGUUGUAAAGUUCUUUUAUAUGGGAAGAUAAUGACGGUACCAUAAGAAGAAGCCUCGGCUAACUACGUGCCAGCAGCCGCGGUAAUACGUAGGGGGCUAGCGUUGUUCGGAAUCACUGGGCGUAAAGGGUUUGCAGGCUGAAAUGCAAGUCAGGUGUAAAAGGCAGUAGCUUAACUACUGUAAGCAUUUGAAACUGCAUAUCUUGAGAGGAGUAGAGGUAAGUGGAAUUUUUAGUGUAGCGGUGAAAUGCGUAGAUAUUAAAAAGAAUACCGGUGGCGAAGGCGAGUUACUGGGCACAUUCUGACGCUGAGGAACGAAAGCGUGGGGAGCAAACAGG